rnacentral:rRNA from 1 species
GAUGAACGCUGGCGGCGUGCCUAAUACAUGCAAGUCGAGCGAACGGACGAGAAGCUUGCUCCUCUGAUGUUAGCGGCGGACGGGUGAGUAACACGUGGAUAACCUACCUAUAAGACUGGGAUAACUUCGGGAAACCGGAGCUAAUACCGGAUAAUAUUUUGAACCGCAUGGUUCAAUAGUGAAAGACGGUCUUGCUGUCACUUAUAGAUGGAUCCGCGCUGCAUUAGCUAGUUGGUAAGGUAACGGCUUACCAAGGCAACGAUGCAUAGCCGACCUGAGAGGGUGAUCGGCCACACUGGAACUGAGACACGGUCCAGACUCCUACGGAAGGCAGCAGUAGGGAAUCUUCCGCAAUGGGCGAAAGCCUGACGGAGCAACGCCGCGUGAGUGAUGAAGGUCUUCGGAUCGUAAAACUCUGUUAUUAGGGAAGAACAUAUGUGUAAGUAACUGUGCACAUCUUGACGGUACCUAAUCAGAAAGCCACGGCUAACUACGUG